rnacentral:lncRNA from 1 species
CCGUUUCGGGCACUUCUCUGGACCCUGGGGACGCAACCGCCCCGGGGCGUCCCCUCUGGAGGGCAGGGGCAGUGGUGUCUUUGCAGCUCCUCCUGCCCGCCGGGCCAUCACCUCUGCCAGCCAAGCUCAGCGCGAAGUUGCUGUGGCCACCCCCGCCUUGCCGUUAGAAAGAGGGGUCCUGGGGUGGGUGGGGGACUUUGGCCUCUGCCGCAGCUUUUGUCGCCGCACCCUCGGGGUGUGGCAGGGAUAACCGCGAACCGGAGUGGCGAGGCUGCAGGGAAGCGCGGCGACCACAAGGGGGCGCUCGGAGCCGCGCUCCAGGCGGCCGAGUUCUCCCGGCCAGCCGCAGGGCGGGCGCAGGGGCAGGACACCAGCCGCCUGCCCGCAAGGACUCCGAGCAUUCCCAGGAGUGCUGUGCACACAGAGAUAAAGGGUUACCUGCAAGGUUCGGUCACCCUGCUUCCCAGCCGGGGUGGGGUGGGGGAGUCGGCGCGUAGAGCGCACCUGUACCUGGGUUGCAGGCUCCCUGUCCUUUCCCGUUCCUUGGGGGGAGGUCCUGUGGUCCCCAUUUCUGCCUCCUUAACCGGAACCGGAAAGUGGCUUCCGUCCGGAAAAUCUGGGCCCAGGGCAGAGUUGCUCCCGGGGAGCGGGUUCCCGGGGUGCUGGACUCACACCCACGAAACACCCAAAGCCAUGCCUGGCUCCCGCUCACCCUUUCUGAUCUACACGGAGCAGAGCUGCAGACGGUUCAGAACUCGGGGAACUGGGCUCCAAGUCGCCGCUCCCCGGAGACAAGCCAGCGAGCCUCUCUGUAGCAUCCUCCCUCUAAACCGUGUCCCCCCUCACCUCCUUUCUCUCUGGCUCCCCCUCCUUUCUGGCACAAGGAAGAUGGCUGAGGCCAGCACGGCUGGAGCGGUUCCCAGUCCACAGCACAUCGUGGGCCCGGGAGAGUCGGGGUGUCUCGCAGGGAAGCGCCGUCCGCCCCGCGGCCCAGGCUGGGGGCGAGUGGGAUCCUGCCUUGGUCUGGAUGUCCGCCCGGGGACUCAGAGUGAGGCCGAGCGCUUGGUGCCGAGGUGGUUUGGGAGCCCUGGGCCCACUGCUUCCUGGCCCUUGAGCGGGGGUCCUGGUGCAGAGGGGAGCCAGGCUGAUGGCGCUGUCGCCUCGGAGGUGCGGCCUGUCUGCGGUCUGGUCCCAGGGCUGUGCGGAUCCGAGCUGCCGGCACAGAUGGGCCGAUGA